GAAAAGUCGUCUGAAGUCGCCUGGUACCCGCGCUAAGAAAAUCAACAACAUGCAGAGUGAUCCGAGUUUGGGUGCAACUUUUGAUGUAAAGGAAGACUGCCGGAGUCGGUGGGGAGAUCUAACAGCCACUGCAGGGAGAGCUCAGCAAGCCAGUACCUGGUAGAUGUGGCCCUCAUCAGUUCCCAAGCAACAGGUAACCAGUCUGGAUGUACAGUAGCACUGAGGAUUAA